rnacentral:rRNA from 1 species
UACAGAGGAGCCAAGCGUUGUCCGGAUUGACUGGGCGUAAAGCGCACGCAGGCGGUUGCGCGCGUGGGGUGUGAAAUCUGGCCGCUUAACGGCCAGGCGCCAUCCCAUACGGCGCGACUGGAGUGAUGCAGAGGUCGAUGGAAUUGCCGGUGUAGUGGUGAAAUGCGCAGAUAUCAGGAGGAACACCGAUGGCGAAGGCAGGUCUCUGGGCAUUAACUGACGCUGAGGAGCGAAAGCAUGGGGAGCGAACAGG